UUGUGUUGGGAAUGUGAAAGUUGUUAGAAUUCAAAUAGAGUCACUAGUGUUUUAAAAAAACAAACCAUGACAAAUAGAGCUGGGGAGGCCAUGAAGAGGGGAUUCUCAUGCUUGUAUGCCUAAUACCAAAAAUGAUCACAAAAGAUUCUGCAAAAAUUACAACCUUGCACAUAGGCUGCUGCAACCUCACACAAAAAUUACUUCUGCAAAGACAUCUGCCUAGCAACUGCCUGUCCAACCUCGGACUGGUGUGACCUUUGUUAUUGAUAUUUGUAGCCAAGGAUAAUUAUUUCAAAACCAUUAUGUAAUCCUCCUCAUUUUUUCCUUUAAAAACCUUUGUUUUUCUUUUUUUUUUUCUUUGUUUUUUUGAGUCAGAGUCUCGCUCUGUCGCCCAGGCUGCAGUGGCUCGACCUCGGCUCACUGCAAGCUCCACCUCCCGGGUUCACGCCAUUCUCCUGCCUCAGCCUCUCCGAGUAGCUGGGACUACAGGCGCCCGCCACCACGCCCGGCUAAUUUUUUGUAUUUUUUAGUAGAGACAGGGUUUCACCGUGGUCUCGAACUCCUGACCUCGUGAUCCGCCCGCCUCGGCCUCCCAAAGUGCUGGGAUUACAAGCGUGAGCCACCGCGCCCGGCCAUGAAUAUAAUUUAUAUGGACAAGAUUCACUUUAACCUAAGUGUUUCCACUAAUUCUACUAAUAGGUUUUUAAAUAAGUUUACUAUCUUGUGUUCCCACACAGAAGACUUUUCUUUGCUCUCAGAAGCAUUUGUUUACAAACACCAUUGGCUUUCCCUUCAAUUCAGAGAAAACGCCCUGUCCAAGUGGCACAGUGACAUCAUCAUCAUCCAUGAGUCAAACCACCUGUCCUUUUUAGGC
rnacentral:lncRNA from 1 species